rnacentral:rRNA from 1 species
CAUGGCUCAGAUUGAACGCUAGCAGCAUGCCUUACACAUGCAAACCGAACGGCAGCACGGGCUUAGGCUUGGUGGCAAGUGGUGAACGGGUGAGUAACGCAUCAGAACAUGCCUCAGAGAGGGGGACAGCUAGGUGAGAACCUAAUUAAUACCGCAUGAAGUUCAUCACCAGAAUGAAUGAAAGCAGGGGACCUUUUAGGCCCUGCGCUCUGAGAUUGGCUGAUGUCCGAUUAGUUAGUUGGUGGGGUAAAGGCCUACCAAGGCAGUGAUCGGUAGCUGGUCUUGGAGGAUGAUCAGCCACACUGGGACUGAGACACGGCCCAGACUCCUGAGGGAGGCAGCAGUGGGGAAUAUUGGACAAUGGGUGGAAGCCUGAUCCAGCAAUGCUGUGUGUGAAGAAGGCCUUUGGGUUGUAAAACACUUUUGUUCAGGAAGAAAGGCAGCCAACUAAUAAUUGGGCUGAGAUGACAGUACUGAAAGAAUAAGCACCGGCUAACUAUGUGCCAGCAGCCGCGGUAAUACAUAGGGUGCGAGCGUUAAUCGGAAUUACUGGGCGUAAAGGGUGUGCAGGCUGUCUACUAAGACUAAUCAUAAAAGGCUAAGGCUCAACCUUAGUGGGUGGUAGUGACUGGUAGACUAGAGUGUGAAAGGGGGAGGUAGAAUUUCACAUGUAGCAGUGAAAUGCGUAGAGAUGUGAAGGAAUACCAAAGGCGAAGGCAGCCUCCUCGGUCAACACUGACGCUCAGACACUAAAGCAUGGGGAGCAAACAGGAUUAGAUACCCUGGUAGUCCAUGCCCUAAACUAUGUUGACUAAUUGUUGGGAAGGUUCCCCUUUUCAGUGGUGCAGCUAACGCAGAAGUCAACCGUCUGGGGAGUACGGUCGCAAGGCUAAAACUCAAAGGAAUUGACGGGGACCCGCACAAGCAGUGGAUGAUGUGGAUUAAUUCGAUGCAACGCGAAGAACCUUACCUACCUUUGACAUGACCAAGAUUCUACUGAGAAGUGGAAGGGCCUGAAAAGGAAUUGGUGCACAGGUGCUGCAUGGCUGUCGUCAGCUCGUGUCGUGAGAUGUUAGGUUAAGUCCUGUAACGAGCGCAACCCCUAUCUUUAAUUGCUACUAAAGUUUUUAGUUACCUUAAAGAGACUGCCAGCGAAAAGUUGGAGGAAGGUGGGGACGACGUCAAGUCCUCAUGGCCCUUAUGAGUAGGGCUUCACACAUCAUACAACGGUCGGAACAAAGAGUUGCCAACCCGUAAGGGGGAGCUAAUCUCACAAAGCCGGCCUCAGUUCGGAUUGUACUCUGAAACUCGAGUGCAUGAAGUUGGAAUUGCUAGUAAUCGUGGAUCAGCAUGCCACGGUGAAUCUGUUCUCGGGUCUUGUACACACCGCCCGUCACACCAUGGAAGUAAUCCUUACCAGAAGUGAUUUGCCUAACCUUUAAUGGUUGCUAGUUUUGGACCAGGCUGUUCUGAUUUGAAAGAGAAGGAGGGCA